rnacentral:rRNA from 1 species
UACGUAGGGGGCAAGCGUUGUCCGGAUUUAUUGGGCGUAAAGAGCUCGUAGGCGGUCUGUCGCGUCUGCUGUGAAAACUCAGGGCUUAACCCUGAGCUUGCAGUGGGUACGGGCAGACUAGAGUGCGGUAGGGGAGACUGGAAUUCCUGGUGUAGCGGUGAAAUGCGCAGAUAUCAGGAGGAACACCGGUGGCGAAGGCGGGUCUCUGGGCCGAUACUGACACUGAGGAGCGAAAGCUAGGGGAGCAAACGGG